AUGGCUCGUGGCGAUCAUCAAAACAAUGAUGAUGAUUUCAUGGAUCCACCACAGCGUAAUCGGGUAGCUGGCCGGAUAAAAGAGGGUGAUGAGAAGAAGAAACAUAUUCGCAACAGAGCCUCCCAAGAACGUCUGACUGUGUUGACUGAAAAAUUCACCGACGACCAGAAGGGGGCUGCUGCUGAGAUGGGUAUACAGUCUAUGAUGGUUGUCCGGUGCACGAACCUUGUCAACCCUGUAUGCGACUGGCUUGCUGAGAUCUACGAGCCCGCCUCCAGGGAGUUCAUGAUUCCGGGACGUGGAAGACUCCCGUUGAACGAAGAAUCCGUGUUCUGCACUCUGGGCGUGCCUUGUGGACAUAUCAAAGUCCCGUACGAGGUCAACAAUGAGAUCGAGGAAGCGAUGUUCCCCUGUUUGUUUCCUGGGUCAGAAUCCAUGCCGAACACGUCUGCAGUGGCAGAUUCGCUGCAGGCCAUGACGACGCAUGGAGAUGUUUUCAAGAUGAAGCUACUCAUGUACCUCAUCUCAGCUGUUUUCGCGCCGACCACCUCUCUUCGCCCAAGCAACAAAUGCUUCCCCAUCCUGGUGAAUGAUCCAUCUUUACUACUUUAUUUUCCUUCAAUCUUUGGGCUCCAAUGUCAUGUGUAA
rnacentral:rRNA from 1 species